GCCAAACAAAUACAAAGUUGAAGAGCAUUGAGGACCCAAAAUUCCCAAAAGUUGUGCCAAAUACGGCUACGGUAAUCUACUCCUGGGGUAAGAAAAUCCUUAGUUUUUCGAAAAAUUCAAAAGUUGUGUAAACAGAAAAUUUAUAAAAAUUACCAUAUAAUUGAUAUUCAUGUCAACACCGAAGUGCUGACUACUGGGCUGGUGAUACCCUCGGGGACGAAACGUCCACCAGCAGUGGCAUCGACCCAGUGGUGUAAAUAGUUAUCAAAAGUACCAGG
rnacentral:lncRNA from 1 species